GCGGAUUCGAAGUGUCAAUCGAUUCACCUAACCUAGAAGCUUUGUAAACACGUAAACACAAGGAAAGCUUUAUUACGCUAAACAAAAGUCCUAACAGGGCAGUAGCACGUACCACAAAGACGGUCCCUAGAAGAGUAAACUUGGCCGUUCGCUUAGAUUCUUUCAGCGAUGAGUUGCCAGAAAGGAAACACCGUAAGAUCCAGACCUCAGAAAUACAAGAACAAAACCGCCUUUAAAAAUAAUCUUCAUGACACGAGCCAGAGAACGAAAACGAUCAACUCUAUUUCAGUGGGAAACGUUUGCCAGAGAUGCAAAGAUAUAAUCGAAUGGAAAAUCAAGUACAAGAAGUACAAGCCUCUGAGCCAGCUUAAGACCUGCGUCAAGUGCGGCCAAAAGGCCAUUUCCAAGGCUUAUCACACUAUAUGCGAUACUUGUAGGAAGAAUUUAGGAGUGUGCGCCAAAUGCGGGGAUCAAAAAGAUGUAGUUGCACCGACAGCGACUGACUCAGAACAGGCACAGCUGGAUGAAGAAAUGAAGUCGUUGCUGAAAUCUUUGCCGGAGCGGAAGCGCAGAACGUUCGUUAGAUUUAUGAAUAAGAAAAAUGAUGAGGCCUCGCCCAGUAAGGAGGAACUGCUGAACAAGCUCGAAACCCUUAAGGUUGCAGACGAUGAAGACGGGUUUACGGAUGAAGAAAGUGAUGACUCACUUGAGUGAAGCCUCGUUACUAAUAAAACCAUUCAAUGUAAAAUUGCUGGCUGUUUUUUCCUGUUUAAUUAGUUAGCUUUAGCCAUGAAGGAAGUGAAGAUUCACUUGAGGGAAGCUCUGUUACUAAAUAAACCCAUUCAAUUGAAAAUUGGUGACUUUUCUCCAGUAUAAGUAAUUAGCUUUAGUUUCCAAGUUUUUGCAGCAAAAAACUAAUAUAUGUAAGUAUAAACACAUCCCUCCAAAAAAAUCGGGAACUGAAAAGUGAUUGAAGGCAACAAAUGAAUAGUAACUGAAAUAAAAAUCCGAAACUCUGAUCAGCAAGCACUAUUUUUCAGAAUCCCUAACCAACAAUUGACAUUGCCAAUUUUAUUAUUUGUCAAAAUAUUUUAGAUUUUUUAAAAAACGUAUUUAUUGCUACAAAAGAUCUGCAACAUAAAAAGUCCGAAUUAUCAGAGUGAACGGUGGUACUGUGACACAAAGCUUGUAAGAUUGUAACCUAAUUUCCACAAAGUCAGCUAUGUAAAUAAGCUUAAAUCUCUAUUUACAUUGAAACAAAAAAACUUUGUCUGAUACAGAAUUCAUUCUUAUGUAAAUGAGUAAAUAAGAUAGAUAAUACGACGAUGCGAUUUAUCGAAAUUUAAAGCAGUUAUUGCUGAUUGUUCUUGGUUGAUAAACUAUUGUUGCUGUCGAGACCCUUGUUGGAGUGCUAAAAACUAUGACGAACCGAGUCUGUCCUUUGCUGAAAAACCCCGAGCAAUAUACUCCGGAUCUGCAGGAUUUGGCGAGAAAUGAGCUGGCUAGAAACUAUUGGCUACCCACUCUGGAAAGGACUGUUGGCAAUUUUGUUGAAAAGGCCCAAUCCCUAAACCCGGACAACCCGAAAGCCACUGAACAUGCCAAGCAAUGUUUGCAGAAGUUCCACAACUUGAUAGAGAAAAUAAAAUUGGAGCCCAGGACUUUAGUUCCACUUAGUGUGAGAACACUGCUGGAGUUCAAUGAGGAAAAUUUGAGGGUGCACUUUAAAGAUGCCUGGCAGACUCAAAAAGACACAGAGUCGGAACAGGCUCUUUCGCAGUUUAGCCACAGAAUUAGUGAAAUUGAUUCCAUAAGUGAUUUUCAUGAAAAAUGGGUGGAAUUGGCCAAAGGACUCCUGGCUGGGAAUGUGUUCGAUUGGGGCUCGGCUGCAGUCGCCAAUAUUCUGGACUCAUCUUCAAUUUUUGGCUUAUCACAUGCAAUGGAGACUAUUGAAGCCAGGCCAUGGUUCAUUGAUGAUGUUGAUGUCUUCAUACAAAGAUUAUAUAGUCACAACUUUAAUAGUGCAGUGAUUUUUGUCGACAAUGCGGGAAUGGACUUUAUUCUCGGCAUUUUACCAUUUGUAAGAGAAUUAUUGACUAGGGGCACUAGAGUGAUCCUGAGUGCCAAUUCCUACCCUUCCUUAAACGAUGUUACCUAUAAGGAACUGAAUAGAUAUUGCCGGAGUGCGGCGAAACAAUGCAAUAUUCUGAAAAAUGCAAUCAACAAUGGCCAGUUGUUAACGCUGGAAAAUGGCCAAAAAGGCCCCUGUUUGGAUCUUAAAAAUUUACCUUCAGAACUCUGUGAUUUGAUGGCUGAAUCGGACUUGAUAAUUUUAGAAGGAAUGGGCAGAUCCAUCCACACUAAUCUAAAUACGGAAUUUACGGUCGACAGUCUUCGAAUGGCCGUUCUGAAGAACGAAUGGCUGGCCAAAAGCUUAGGAGCUCAUCAGUUCAGUGUAAUAUUUAAAUAUCAACGCCCAGCAUGAAAGUACCUGACUUAAUUUUGACUAUUUUUUUUAUUCAGUGUUAAAUUAGGGUCGUAUUUGUUAAUUGCAGUAAAUUUUAGUACUAAAUUAUAUUGUAAUAAAGUUGUUUUAAUUAUGAAAA